rnacentral:rRNA from 1 species
AUUGAACGCUGGCGGCAUGCUUUACACAUGCAAGUCGAACGGCAGCGCGGGCUUCGGCCUGGCGGCGAGUGGCGAACGGGUGAGUAAUGCAUCGGAACGUCCCCAGUAGUGGGGGAUAGCCCGGCGAAAGCCGGAUUAAUACCGCAUACGACCUGAGGGUGAAAGCGGGGGACCGAAAGGCCUCGCGCUAUUGGAGCGGCCGAUGUCGGAUUAGCUAGUUGGUGGGGUAAAGGCUUACCAAGGCGACGAUCCGUAGCUGGUCUGAGAGGACGACCAGCCACACGGGAAUGGGGAGACGGCCCGGCUUCCUAGGGGGGGCGGAGGGGGGAAAUUGUGGCAAUGGGGGCAACCCUGAUCCAGCCAUGCCGCGUGCGGGAAGAAGGCCUUCGGGUUGUAAACCGCUUUUGUUCGGGAAGAAAUCCUCUGGGCUAAUACCCCGGGGGGAUGACGGUACCGGAAGAAUAAGCACCGGCUAACUACGUG